AUUCAGCUGAAGAGUCCCAAACAGGGUGAAAGGUGCGUCUUGAAU
rnacentral:hammerhead_ribozyme from 1 species